GGCUGUUCUGAGUGCAGUGGUGUUCACAACUAAUUGAUCACAACCGGUUCCAAAUUCCUUUAUUCCUUCUCCACUCCCACUGCUUCACUUGACUAAGCUUAAA
ensembl:misc_RNA Y_RNA Y RNA